rnacentral:rRNA from 1 species
GGUUAAGUGACUAAGCGUACACGGUGGAUGCCUUGGCAGUCAGAGGCGAUGAAGGACGUAGUAACUUGCGAUAAGCGUAGAUGAGGCAGUAACAGCCACUUGAGUCUACGAUUUCCGAAUGGGGAAACCCACUGGCAUAAGCCAGUAUCAUUGAGUGAAUACAUAGCUCAAUGAAGCGAACCGGGAGAACUGAAACAUCUAAGUACCCCGAGGAAAAGAAAUCAACCGAGAUUCCGAAAGUAGCGGCGAGCGAAAUUGGAUUAGCCCUUAAGCUUUACAUGUGUUAGACGAACGGUCUGGAAAGUCCGACGAUACAGGGUGAUAGUCCCGUAGUUGUAGACGCAUGUUCAGUGAAAUCGAGUAGGGCGGGACACGUGUUAUCCUGUCUGAAUAUGGGGGGACCAUCCUCCAAGGCUAAAUACUCCUGACUGACCGAUAGUGAACCAGUACCGUGAGGGAAAGGCGAAAAGAACCCCUGUGAGGGGAGUGAAAUAGAACCUGAAACCGUGUACGUACAAGCAGUAGGAGCACCUUCGUGGUGUGACUGCGUACCUUUUGUAUAAUGGGUCAGCGACUUAUAUUCAGUGGCAAGGUUAACCAUCUAGGGGAGCCGUAGGGAAACCGAGUCUUAACUGGGCGCCAUAGUCUCUGGAUAUAGACCCGAAACCGAGUGAUCUAGCCAUGGGCAGGUUGAAGGUUGAGUAACAUCAACUGGAGGACCGAACCGACUAAUGUUGAAAAAUUAGCGGAUGACUUGUGGCUAGGGGUGAAAGGCCAAUCAAACUCGGAGAUAGCUGGUUCUCCCCGAAAGCUAUUUAGGUAGCGCCUCGGACGAAUACUACUGGGGGUAGAGCACUGUUAAGGCUAGGGGGUCAUCCCGACUUACCAACCCUUUGCAAACUCCGAAUACCAGUAAGUACUAUCCGGGAGACACACGGCGGGUGCUAACGUCCGUCGUGGAGAGGGAAACAACCCAGACCGCCAGCUAAGGUCCCAAAUUACAGCUAAGUGGGAAACGAUGUGGGAAGGCUUAGACAGCUAGGAUGUUGGCUUAGAAGCAGCCAUCAUUUAAAGAAAGCGUAAUAGCUCACUAGUCGAGUCGGCCUGCGCGGAAGAUGUAACGGGGCUAAGUUGUAAACCGAAGCUGCGGCAAUGUUCUUUGAACAUUGGGUAGGGGAGCGUUCUGUAAGCCGUUGAAGGUGUGUUGUAAAGCAUGCUGGAGGUAUCAGAAGUGCGAAUGCUGACAUGAGUAACGACAAGGGGGGUGAAAAACCUCCCCGCCGGAAGACCAAGGGUUCCUGUCCAACGUUAAUCGGGGCAGGGUAAGUCGACCCCUAAGGCGAGGC